rnacentral:rRNA from 1 species
CCUCCUCUAGAGUUUGGAUCCUGGCUCAGAUUGAACGCUGGCGGCAGGCCUAACACAUGCAAGUCGAGCGGUAACAUUUCUAGCUUGCUAGAAGAUGACGAGCGGCGGACGGGUGAGUAAUGCUUGGGAACAUGCCUUGAGGUGGGGGACAACCAUUGGAAACGAUGGCUAAUACCGCAUAAUGUCUACGGACCAAAGGGGGCUUCGGCUCUCGCCUUUAGAUUGGCCCAAGUGGGAUUAGCUAGUUGGUGAGGUAAAGGCUCACCAAGGCGACGAUCCCUAGCUGGUUUGAGAGGAUGAUCAGCCACACUGGAACUGAGACACGGUCCAGACUCCUACGGGAGGCAGCAGUGGGGAAUAUUGCACAAUGGGCGCAAGCCUGAUGCAGCCAUGCCGCGUGUGUGAAGAAGGCCUUCGGGUUGUAAAGCACUUUCAGUCAGGAGGAAAGGUUAGUAGUUAAUACCCUGCUAGCUGUGACGUACU